rnacentral:rRNA from 1 species
UGGAUCCAGACUUUGAUCAUGGCUCAGGACGAACGCUGGCGGCACGCCUAACACAUGCAAGUCGAACGGAGAUAAUUGAGUUUACUUGAUUAUCUUAGUGGCGGACGGGUGAGUAACACGUGAGCAACCUGCCUCUGAGAGAGGGAUAGCUUCUGGAAACGGAUGGUAAUACCUCAUAACAUAGCGGAACCGCAUGAUUCUGCUAUCAAAGAUUUAUUACUCAGAGAUGGGCUCGCGUCUGAUUAGCUAGUUGGUGAGGUAACGGCUCACCAAGGCGACGAUCAGUAGCCGGACUGAGAGGUUGAACGGCCACAUUGGGACUGAGACACGGCCCAGACUCCUACGGGAGGCAGCAGUGAGGGAUAUUGCACAAUGGAGGAAACUCUGAUGCAGCGAUGCCGCGUGGAGGAAGAAGGUUUUCGGAUUGUAAACUCCUGUUUCGAGGGACGAUAAUGACGGUACCUCGGGAGGAAGCUCCGGCUAACUACGUGCCAGCAGCCGCGGUAAUACGUAGGGAGCGAGCGUUGUCCGGAAUUACUGGGUGUAAAGGGAGCGCAGGCGGGAUUGCAAGUCAGGUGUGAAAUGCAGGGGCUCAACCCCUGAGCUGCACUUGAAACUGUAGUUCUUGAGUGAAGUAGAGGUAAGCGGAAUUCCUAGUGUAGCGGUGAAAUGCGUAGAUAUUAGGAGGAACAUCGGUGGCGAAGGCGGCUUACUGGGCUUUUACUGACGCUGAGGCUCGAAAGCGUGGGGAGCAAACAGGAUUAGAUACCCUGGUAGUCCACGCUGUAAACGAUGAUGACUAGGUGUGGGGGGACUGACCCCUUCCGUGCCGCAGUUAACACAAUAAGUCAUCCACCUGGGGAGUACGGCCGCAAGGUUGCAACUCAAAUGAAUUGACGGA